UCGAGAAUCUUCGGCAAUGGGCGCAAGCCUGACCGAGCGACGCCGCGUGGAGGACGAAGGCCUUCGGGUUGUAAACUCCUGUCGAGGGGGAGGAAGCCGCAAGGUUGACCGAUCCCUGGAGGAAGCACGGGCUAAGUUCGUGCCAGCAGCCGCGGUAAGACGAACCGUGCGAACGUUAUUCGGAAUCACUGGGCUUAAAGCGCGUGUAGGCGGACGGGCGCGUCGGACGCUGAAAUCCCCCGGCUCAACCGGGGAAGUGGCUCCGAUACGGCCCGUCUGGAGGGGGGUAGGGGGCGCUGGAACUCACGGUGGAGCGGUGAAAUGCGUUGAGAUCGUGAGGAACGCCCGCGGCGAAAGCGAGCGCCUGGACCCUUUCUGACGCUGAGACGCGAAAGCCAGGGGAGCGAACGG
rnacentral:rRNA from 1 species